UAAUAACCUGAGACCUGACGAUGAUCAAAGGUUUGAAAAUCCAGUAAUGCAUCAUGUCCCAGCACCACCAGUCAAUGAACCGAAUAGAAAUUUUAUUCACCCAGUCAAUGAUGAGAUCGGUGGCAAUGUCGAUCGUACAAACGAUCGGCGUUGGACUCAUUUAUACGGAGAAGUAUACAUACGAACUGAUAGACUUCGUUUUCUUCGUCCAGUUCCUCCAAGAGCUAAAACUGCCAGUUCGUAGCUGAUAAAAAUGCUAGUUCCUCAAGAAGUUUUACAAACUCAUUCUGUUUCUGGUAAAAAAUCUCCAGCUUUUCCAGAUAGAGAUGCCAAACCACCCCUGGAUCCAAGAUUAAUUGAAGCUAUAUAUCAAUAUGUCAUUACUCAUGUUGAACCAGGAGCACGAAAGUCGUCCGUUACAAGUGGAAUAACAUAUGCCUGUAACAAUUCAACUAGAAACAACCGUAGAAUUGCU